CUCGUAGGCGGUUCGUCGCGUCCGGUGUGAAAGUCCAUCGCUUAACGGUGGAUCCGCGCCGGGUACGGGCGGGCUUGAGUGCGGUAGGGGAGACUGGAAUUCCCGGUGUAGCGGUGGGAUGUGUAGAUAUCGGGAAGAACACCAAUGGCGAAGGCAGGUCUCUGGGCCGUCACUGACGCUGAGGAGCGAAAGCGUGGGGAGCGAACA
rnacentral:rRNA from 1 species